rnacentral:rRNA from 1 species
AUUGAACGCUGGCGGCAGGCCUAACACAUGCAAGUCGAGCGGAUGAAGGGAGCUUGCUCCUGGAUUCAGCGGCGGACGGGUGAGUAAUGCCUAGGAAUCUGCCUGGUAGUGGGGGAUAACGUCCGGAAACGGGCGCUAAUACCGCAUACGUCCUGAGGGAGAAAGUGGGGGAUCUUCGGACCUCACGCUAUCGGAUGAGCCUAGGUCGGAUUAGCUAGUUGGUGGGGUAAAGGCCUACCAAGGCGACGAUCCGUAACUGGUCUGAGAGGAUGAUCAGUCACACUGGAACUGAGACACGGUCCAGACUCCUACGGGAGGCAGCAGUGGGGAAUAUUGGACAAUGGGCGAAAGCCUGAUCCAGCCAUGCCGCGUGUGUGAAGAAGGUCUUCGGAUUGUAAAGCACUUUAAGUUGGGAGGAAGGGCUGUAAGUUAAUACCUUGCUGUUUUGACGUUACCAACAGAAUAAGCACCGGCUAACUUCGUG